rnacentral:lncRNA from 10 species
GGAAGGGCCUCAGAGAACGCCCGGCUACUUCAAUGCAGGUUCCCUACAGAUGCAAAUCUCUCCCACAAAAGACAGCUUUGCAGGGCUACUUCUGUUUGCAGACCCUCUGAACAGGCAUCUUAUCAAAGAAGUAUACUCUGGGGUGAAAUAUUUUGGCUUCCUUCAUCGCUAUCACUCCAGAAGCCCCAUCAUGCUUCCUUCCAGUCUUUAGACACAAGAGGAACUACAUUUCAGGUUUCUAGCAGCACAGAUGAGAUUUGUUGUUGUUUGUACUUCAGAUGAAUAGAUAUAUAAGAUACAGAAGGUACAUGUGCAGACUUGUUGCAUGGGAAUAUUGCAUGAUGCUGAGCUUUGGGGUAUGGAUCCUGUCACCUAGCUUGUGAAUAUAGUACCUGCAAAUCCUUUUAUACAGAAUGGGACUUAAGAUGAUCAAGUGUUAUCUGUGAAUGUGAAUAAUCAGGCUCUUCUAUAAGGAAGGAAAAAUGAGUUUGCACGAACAAAUUGAAGGAUGGCGAACAUGGAGGAUUUUAUUGAACUAUGAAAGUGGCUCUCCGUGGGCAGGGGAGCUAAAAAGGCGACGGGACAGGCAGGUGCAAAGUUAGAUUGCUCAUUUGAGACCUGUCUGACUUAUCCAUGAAGACACUUAGGGCUAUAAACUUUCCUCUUAAGACUACUUUGGCUGCAUCUCAGAGAUUUGAUUAACCACCAGAGAAAAACACAUUUCCUGUCGUUUCUCCAAUCAGACCCGAAGUAUCGGAACAGAUAUGAACAAUUCUCCUUUUUUUUUUUUCCCAGACAGCAAUUUAGAAUAAUUAGGGUAAUUUAUACAUAAGGCUCUGGCCCAGACCUUAUAUAAUAGAUCUUGGAAAUGACCAUUAUCUUAAAGGUGACAUUUAAAUUAAAAACAGUGGCAGUGAGCAUAAAGUUUGAAAGCACAGGCUGUGCAGUCAUGCAUAGUGGCUCUGUUAGGAAUUUGUCUCUCCCACUACAUGUUUUGUAGCUUUAGAAAAGUUAUUAAUGUCCCUAAGCCUCCAUUUGCAAAACUGGAAUGAAUAUGAAAAGAUUGUUGAGAGAAAUACAAAUUUAAUCCAUAUAAAACCCUUUGUAUGAUAUCUGAAAUAGAAUAAGAAGAUAAAUAUUUCUUAUUAUUAAGCUGCCUUUGAAAUAAUUGCCUCGAAUGACACUGAGCCUGUGAUCUGAAUUUAGGUUUGCUGUAUACAUGUCUUAGAGGCAACUCUAAACUGAAAAAUAAAAAUGAGUAAAUCUGCAACAUCAAAUCUUUGAGCAUUUCUAUUGAUUUCAGUUUGGUAUGCUUAUGAAACUUUAGCUUACAAGCCACUUCCAGUGAAUGCUACUCUCAACUAAUGAUGUCAUCAUCGCAUUUCUUUAUCCUCUCACACCUGCAAGUUUUGCUUCCAAGCUAAACACCCACACUAUCUGCUGC